AACGAACGCUGGCGGCAGGCUUAACACAUGCAAGUCGAACGUCCCGCAAGGGGCGUGGCAGACGGGUGAGUAACGCGUGGGAACAUACCCUUUUCUACGGAAUAGCUCUGGGAAACUGGAAUUAAUACCGUAUACGCCCUACGGGGGAAAGAUUUAUCGGGGAAGGAUUGGCCCGCGUUGGAUUAGCUAGUUGGUGGGGUAAAGGCCUACCAAGGCGACGAUCCAUAGCUGGUCUGAGAGGAUGAUCAGCCACAUUGGGACUGAGACACGGCCCAAACUCCUACGGGAGGCAGCAGUGGGGAAUAUUGGACAAUGGGCGCAAGCCUGAUCCAGCCAUGCCGCGUGAGUGAUGAAGGCCUUAGGGUUGUAAAGCUCUUUCACCGAUGAAGAUAAUGACGGUAGUCGGAGAAGAAGCCCCGGCUAACUUCGUG
rnacentral:rRNA from 1 species